UUCGGCCAUAGUGGCGCACGGGUGAGUAACGCGUGGGAACCUACCCUGAAGUGGGGGAUAACCUCGGGAAACUGAGGCUAAUACCGCAUAUGCCCUGAGGGGCAAAGACUUCGGUCGCUUUAGGACGGGCCCGCGCCCGAUUAGGUAGUUGGUGAGGUAAGAGCUCACCAAGCCGACGAUCGGUAGCUGGUCUGAGAGGAUGAUCAGCCACACUGGGACUGAGACACGGCCCAGACUCCUACGGGAGGCAGCAGUGGGGAAUAUUGGACAAUGGGCGCAAGCCUGAUCCAGCCAUGCCGCGUGAGUGAAGAAGGCCUUCGGGUUGUAAAGCUCUUUCAGCGGGGACGAUGAUGACGGUACCCGCAGAAGAAGCCCCGGCUAACUUCGUGCCAGCAGCCGCGGUAAUACGAAGGGGGCUAGCGUUGU
rnacentral:rRNA from 1 species